GACGAACGCUGGCGGCGUGCCUAACACAUGCAAGUCAACUUGAAGGAAGGAGCAAUCUGACCUGAUGGUGGCGCAAGGGUGCGUAACGCGUAAGUAACUUGCCCAAGGUAAGGAAUAACGUCGAGAAAUCGGCGCUAAUACCUCAUAAUGCAGCGGAUCCGCAUGGAUAUGUUGUUAAAGGUUUACCGCCUUGGGAUAGGCUUGCGUCUGAUUAGCUAGUUGGUGUGGUAAUGGCACACCAAGGCUACGAUCAGUAACUGGUCUGAGAGGAUGAUCAGUCACACUGGAACUGAGACACGGUCCAGACUCCGUACGGGAGCAGC
rnacentral:rRNA from 1 species